UUUUGGUCGGCCUUGCUUCCCUCUUUUGCCCUUUGCAGCUUUCUGCCAAUUCUUUCCCGUUUUCCUACCUUUGGGAGGCACCCAUGGAAGGGCCACUGGGAAGAGAGUGGAGAUUGGCUGGUCACUAUUCUUGAUCUGGAAGUAAAGGGCUUCUAGCUGCAGCAUUUGGAACCACUGUCUAUAUGCAAAAAGUUGCGAGGCUUGUCUGAAGAAGAGCUUGAGGAUAUGCUCCUUCUCAGCAUAGGCUUCCUUUGCUGCCGUCUCUGCUUCCCUUGCUCGUGUUUGAGAAUGUCGGAGAGCUUCUAAUAGUUGAGCCUUGCAAGGGUCACCCUCAGAAACUUCUUGUGU
rnacentral:lncRNA from 1 species